rnacentral:lncRNA from 1 species
GGGAACCGCACUGUCGUAGCCGCCGGAGUUUUUCUUUACUUUCUUGACGAUGGCGAGAAUGACGGCGUCGACGACAAGGCCGAGGAUCGCGAGCACCAGCAGCCACGCCCACCAACCCUUGCACCUCGAUUUAGCUCCCAUUUUUUAGGACCAACCAAAACCACAAGAGGCAGGCAAAAAGUAGUCUAAGUAGAUAUCUGUCUUAGCACAUUGUGACAAGACAAACAAACAUUAAUCGAGGUUUUGGAGAAGAUU